rnacentral:piRNA from 1 species
UGUCAGAUGAGUAACACUGGUCAAUUUGAU